rnacentral:rRNA from 1 species
AACGUAGGACGCAAGCGUUAUCCGGAGUUACUGGGCGUAAAGCGCGGGCAGGCGGCUCGAAACGUCUGAUGUGAAAUCUCCUCGCUCAACGGGGAGAGGCCAUUGGAAACGGUCGGGCUGGAGGGCAGUAGAGGCAGGCGGAAUUCCGGGUGGAGUGGUGAAAUGCGUAGAGAUCCGGAGGAACACCAGAGGCGAAGGCGGCCUGCUGGGCUGCACCUGACGCUGAGCCGCGAAAGCCAGGGGAGCGAACGGG